GAGAGAAAGAAAGAACUCAUUUGCACCGUUUCCCCUCAUGGCUCCGAAAAAGAAGCAACAGAGGGCGAGCAACAAGGCGGCGUCCAAAGCGAAGCUUCAAUCGGCCGACGCCAAGCCCGCUCCCAAGCUUCAGAUCUCCGCAGAGAAUGAGCGCCGUCUCCGCCGCCUCCUUUUGAACACCGAGAGGCCGGCAGCUGCGGAGGGGCCGUCCCUGGCCGCCGCAGAUGCUGCUUCAAGGACGCAGAAGGCGAAGAGGCUUCGCGGUGUCUAUGAUAAGCUAUCUCUAGAGGGAUUCUCCGCGGAUCAAAUCGAACAGGCUCUCUCCGCCCUCGGAGAGGGAGCAACAUUUGAGGGUGCUUUGGAUUGGUUAUGUUUUAAUCUUCCUGGAAAUCAGCUUCCAAUGAAAUUCUCCAGUGGUGCCUCUACAUCUAAUCUUGAAGGGACAGAAAGGUCGGUGAAGAUAAUAUCUGCAGCUCGGGAAGAUUGGGUUCCACAGCAACGUCAGCCAGAAAGUAUACCUAAAUCUUUACUUGAAAUUAAGGUGAAGCGGGAUGAGUUAUCUCUUGAUAUAGGAAAAUCUUCGCAUAAGGAAUGGAUACAACAGUACUUGGAGCGAGAAGAAGAGGAGGAUGAGCUAAACUCUCAAGCAGCCUCUCUUGAGUAUCAUCAGGCUGGGUUGGGAGAUGUAGAAGCAAAGCAGAAAGGAGACGAGAAAAGCUUCCAUGAUGAGAUUUUGUUGUCUGGCUUACAAGAAGAAUCUACUACUAAAAUGACCGAGGAGAUUGCAUGUAAUUCUGCAUUUACCAUAUCUUUAGAGUUGAAAGCUUCAGAUGAUCAACAGAAUCCGGGGCAGAGCAAGGUAGUUAAUUUAGAGGCAGAUGAAGCUGAUCACUUUAAAGCAGUUGAUUCUUCUGUUAGUCUUUUGGAAGGCCAUGUGAAUGAAACUGAUAAAAAAACCGAGGAAGUAGAAGAAUUGGAACUUGAUAAUCUCUUUUCUGAAGAUUGUUCUUCUAGCAUUACGUUACCUGCAGAAAUAUCGACACAAAAAAAUAAAAAGAGUUUGUCACAAUUUGCAUUCAGGUAUAAUCUUGGAAGCAUUGAUGACAUAUGGAUGAAGGGAGACACUGGGAAAAUCCCAAAGGCUGUUUUACAGAAGCUGUGCCAGAAACUAGGUUGGGAACCGCCCAAAUACAGUAAAUUGUCUGGAAAAGAAGAUAAGUUCCUGUAUGCUGUGAGUAUCUUACGUUCGGCAAGUGGCCGAGGUAAGAGCCGGAAUGCUGGAGGCUUGAUUUCUAUUCAGUUACCCAAUGGUGGCGAAUCUUUCAAAUCUGUUGAGGAUGCGCAAAAUAAAGUAGCAUCGUAUGCCCUUUGUCAACUUUUUCCUGAACUUCCGCUUUGCCAAAUGCUCAUGGAACCAUACUCUUCGUUUGUUUCGAUGUGGCACAAUGAUGAACUUCCAGCCAACCUAGUUGAGAAUGAGGAUGCCCGUCGAGCAGGCUUUGUGGAUUCAUUGUUGAAUGCAGAUUCUUCGCUACCAAUGUCUUCUGUUGAUGUCAAAAGAAUUUCUGUUGGUGAAAAGUUAGUAAAAGCGGAAAAUCUAGAAGUAACUAUUGACUGUCCUAUUGAAACUGCAAAAGUAAUACCAUCAGGAGCUAGUUAUCCUGAACAACGGGAAAGCAUCUUUUUGAAAAAAGAACUUGAGAAUAAAAUGAAGCAACCCGAGUACAUGAAAAUUCUGGAAGCUAGAGAUUCUUUACCUAUAUCUAAGCUGAAGAGUAAUAUUCUACAAUUGCUAGUUGAGAAUGAUGUGAUUGUUGUUUGUGGGGAAACAGGUUGUGGAAAAACAACACAGGUUCCUCAAUUCAUUUUGGAUGACAUGAUCCAAUCAGGUCUCGGUGGAUACUGUAACAUAGUGUGCACACAACCCAGAAGAUUAGCGGCUAUCUCUGUGGCAGAAAGAGUGUCAGAUGAGCGAUGUGAGCCUUCACCUGGUUGUGACGGUUCAUUGGUUGGUUAUCAAGUACGCCUUGACGUUGCAAGGAAUGAGAAGACAAAACUUUUGUUUUGUACAACAGGAAUCCUUCUCAGGAAGCUGGCUGUAAAUAAAGACUUGGCUGGUAUCACACAUGUGAUAGUUGAUGAAGUUCAUGAACGAUCACUUUUGGGUGACUUUUUACUCAUUGUUCUCAAAAACCUUAUUGAGAAGCAAUCUGAUACUGCCAGGCAAAAGUUAAAAGUGGUUCUCAUGUCUGCAACAGUUGAUUCAAGUUUGUUCUCAAGGUACUUCGGGAAUUGCCCUGUGAUUAGUGCAGAAGGAAGAACACAUCCAGUAUCAACUUACUUUCUUGAGGAUGUUUACGAAAGGCUUGACUAUUGUCUUGCUUUGGAUGCUGCAGCAUCAGGAACAUCCAUGACUGGAUAUAGAGGAAAACUUAAGGGCAGUAUUGUGGAUAAUCACAGAGGAAAGAAGAAUAUAGUUUUAUCUUCAUGGGGUGACGAGUCACUACUUUCUGAAGACUAUGUUAAUCCCCAUUAUAUCCCAGAUCAAUAUGCGUCAUACAGUGACCGAACACGGCAAAAUCUGAAGCGUUUAAAUGAGGAUGUGAUUGACUUUGACCUUCUUGAAGAUUUGAUAUGCUUUAUUGAUGAAAAUUAUCCACCGGGUGCUAUUCUUGUCUUUCUUCCAGGAGUUGCAGAAAUUGACUUGCUAGUUGACAAGUUAACUGCUUCCUAUCAAUUUGGAGGAAUAUUAUUGGAUUGGAUUCUUCCUCUGCAUUCAUCUCUUUCAGCUUUUGAACAAAAAAAGGUGUUUUUGACCCCACCUCAGAAUAUCCGCAAGGUCAUUGUUGCUACAGAUAUUGCGGAGACCAGUAUAACAAUUGAUGACGUGAUUUAUGUGGUUGAUGCUGGAAAGCACAAAGAGAAACGUUACAAUGCUCAAAAGAAAAUGUCAAGCAUGGUAGAGGAUUGGAUAUCUAAGGCUAAUGCAAAGCAACGUCGAGGGAGAGCUGGACGUGUGAAACCUGGUAUCUGUUUCUGCUUGUACACAUGCCACAGAUAUGAAGUGCUCAUGCGGCCAUUUCAGGUACCUGAGAUGGUGAGGAUGCCAUUGACAGAAUUAUGUCUCCAAAUAAAAUCCCUUUCACUGGGAGAUACAAAAUCCUUCUUAUUGCAGGCUAUAGAACCUCCACGUGAAGAUGUAAUUUCUUCUGCAAUUGAUUUGCUGUAUAAGGUUGGAGCCUUAGAUGGAAAUGAGGAAUUGUCACCUCUUGGAUAUCAUUUGGCAAAGUUACCCGUGGAUGUGUUGAUCGGAAAGAUGAUGUUAUAUGGUGCAAUAUUUGGUUGUUUAUCACCAAUUCUUUCACUUGCAGCAUUUUUAAGUUAUAAGUUUCCAUUUGUGUAUCCGAAAGAUGAGAAACAAAAUGUAGAGAGAGCAAAAUCAGCAUUAUUAGGUAAUAGCCUGAAUAAUGAAUCUGCUUACGAGGAAAGUUAUAAACAAUCAGAUCACCUCUUGAUGGUUGUUGCCUAUAACAAGUGGGCCAGAAUUUUGCAUCAGGAUGGCACAAGAUCUGCUCAACAAUUUUGUCGUUCUUUUUUCUUGAACAGUUCAGUAAUGUACACGAUAAGGGACAUGCGUGUACAAUUUGGAGGUCUGUUAGCAGACAUUGGACUUGUUGAUCUGCCAAAGCAUCUCCUGAGUUAUGAAAGAAGGAAAGACAAACUUGACAGUUGGUUUUCUGACAUGUCUCAACCAUUCAACCUGAAUGCAAAUCAUCCAUCAAUCAUUAAGUCAAUAAUAUGUGCAGGUCUAUAUCCAAAUGUUGCUGCAACCACAGAAGGUAUUGUUAAUUCAGCUUUAGCAGGGACUACAUUACUAGCCAGUGGCCUUCCUCUGAAGGAUCAAACAGUAUUAUAUGAUGGAAAGAGAGAAGUUCACAUACAUCCUUCUUCUGUGAACCACAACGUGAAACAUUUUAGAUAUCCAUUUCUUGUCUUCCUUGAAAAGGUUGAGACCAGCAAGGUUUUUCUACGUGACAGUAGCAUCAUCUCUCCAUACUCUCUUUUUUUAUUUGGGGGCUCCAUGUCUAUCCAGCAUCAGGCAGGGUUGAUCACUAUAGAUGGCUGGUUAAAAUUGACUGCUCCUGCACAGACGGCUGUUCUGUUUAAGGAACUACGCUUAACACUUCAUGCUGUUUUGAAGGAACUUAUCAGAAAACCAGAGACAGCUACAUUCUCAAAAAAUGAAGUGGUGAAAUCAAUUGUUCAGUUGUUGCUGGAGGAAGAUAAAGACCAAACGUCUUUAAAAUGAGGCAUGUCCUUAUGCUCCCAACACUUGAACAAUCACCAAGUAUUCUUGAUAAGAUCCUUAGAUUCAGAGUUGGUUCUUCUGAAGAACACAAGUUUAUUGCUUCCAUAGCUUCCAACUGAAUGGUAUUAUAGAAUCAUCCAAGAUAUGAAAGUAGAUCACCAAUCUCUCCGAAAUCUUCUGAGAAGGAAACCAUGGUUUCUGAGGGACAUUCCUGGUAAAAGUGGGCAUGCCAAUACUGGCAUCGGAUGAUAAACAAGUGGUGGAACAAUGAAACCUGGGCAAGACUCAAGGAACUUGACUCAGGCUACUCAUUUCAACGGCUAGAGUUCAGGAUCAAACAUAUUACACAGCUAACAAUCUAAAGAAGCUAGCUCCCUUGGCUUUCUUGGCAAGCUUAUUAUGGAAGACAUCCGGAUUAUAUGGUGAACAACUUCGACAUGUGGCCUAGUUCAACAUUUGCCAUAGAACAGGCUCUCUUAUUACACAUGUAGAACCUGUGCUAUUCGAUACAUUUUCUCCUAUUAAGUUGAACCUUGCUGUGCGUCUUUCUCAAGUUCUGAAAACUGCUAUAAAUUGUUGGUUAGCACAAUUUGUGGAUUGCUAACCACAACAAAUGCUUGAACUACUAUUCGAAAUAUAGAUUUUCAGUUGAAUUUUCUGGUUCA